CUAACCCCAAAAUUGCACCUUUGUUCCCUAAAUAUCGCUGCAAGACAGUGACUCACAAGUCACAACGACGAACCUGUCAAGCUGGCCACUACUUGCCCAUCGUCUCUAUCAUCUCUCUCACUUGGAUAUAAAAGGCUUUCAAAACUUGAAAGAAGUAGGUGUAUGUGGCAUAUAAGUAUUAUACAAGUGGCAUUGCAAGUUGCUUGAAAGAUGGCGAUGCGGAUAGUCUAAGAGGCCGAGAGUCAGAGAUGGAAUGAAGAAGAUGAAGUUAGAGAGUGAAAGAGUGAGAAGGGGGAAGGUGCACAUCUAGCGCAUCCAGUGGUUAGCGAUAACUUUUUGAGUGUAUAUCGGCGGGUUUCCGACGUCGUGGUCCGACGGUCCGUCGAUUCCGGUGUUUUCCAACGGGUGUGGUCUACAGGUGUUCUCCAUUUGCUUUAGAGAAGAGAUAUGGAGAGACAAGAGAUAUUACAAUGAUUAUUUUUUUAUUGUUAAAAUAAAUAAUAAUUAACUAUUUAAUA